AAGUCGUAACAAGGUUUCCGUGAACCUGCGGAAGGAUCAUUAACACGUAUCCAAACGUUAAAACCCCAGGCAAUCCCUAGUAAAUCAUUGUCUUAACAGGUUUUGAGUUAGGGACGUCCCCCACUACGGGACUUGUGCAGAAGAGAGUAUUGCCCUGGUGCCCCCAAGCAACCAUCAAUCUUAAAGUGUUUGGUGAAUUGUGCAAGGGCGUCGCAGUCAACGCUCGCUGGAGGCCCACACGGCCGGCGACCGGGGCCAUUACCACGACCUACUACGUGGCCUACGUCACCCCCCCGAGCAUGGCAAGCGGACGCGCCGAAAGGUUGUAUCCACCCCUAAAACCGAACAACUGUUAACAAUGGAUAUCUUGGUUCUC
rnacentral:misc_RNA from 1 species